rnacentral:rRNA from 1 species
CCUACGGGAGGCAGCAGUGGGGAAUAUUGCUCAAUGGGGGAAACCCUGAAGCAGCAACGCCGCGUGGGGGAUGAAGGUUUUCGGAUUGUAAACUCCUUUUGUUAGAGAAGAUAAUGACGGUAUCUAACGAAUAAGCACCGGCUAACUCCGUGCCAGCAGCCGCGGUAAUACGGAGGGUGCAAGCGUUACUCGGAAUCACUGGGCGUAAAGAGCGCGUAGGCGGGAUAGCAAGUCAGAUGUGAAAUCCUAGGGCUUAACCAUAGAACUGCAUUUGAAACUGUUAUUCUAGAGUAUGGGAGAGGUAGGUGGAAUUCUUGGUGUAGGGGUAAAAUCCGUAGAGAUCAAGAGGAACACUCAUUGCGAAGGCGACCUGCUAGAACAUAACUGACGCUGAUGCGCGAAAGCGUGGGGAGCAAACAGGAUUAGAUACCCCUGUAGUC